UACGUAGGGUGCAAGCGUUGUCCGGAAUUAUUGGGCGUAAAGAGCUCGUAGGCGGUCUGUCGCGUCGGAUGUGAAAAUCCAGGGCUCAACCCUGGACCUGCAUUCGAUACGGGCAGACUAGAGUUCGGUAGGGGAGACUGGAAUUCCUGGUGUAGCGGUGAAAUGCGCAGAUAUCGGGAAGAACACCCGUGGCGAAGGCGGCUCUCUGGGACGGUACUGACGCUGAUGCUCGAAAGCUAGGGGAGCAAACAGG
rnacentral:rRNA from 1 species